AAGAGCUGAUGGGGGAAAACAGCACGCGGUUUCACGAGGUGGUGCUCAGGCUGCAGCCGUGUUCUAGCUCAGCAAACUUCCGGGUGUUCCGAGGAGCUGUGUGUGUGCAGCGUUUGCGCUGGGGCACGGUUACAGCCGUACCACUGAGAGGCUGACGUGGUUUUUCCUCACGUUCUGGUUUAUGUCAGAAAUGCUGUCCGGGAAGCAAGGGAGAAAUCUGGGAAUUCGGACUAGCCGCUCCUAGUGGUCUCUCCAACCUUGUUUCUAAGAGUUGGAUGUGACAGCAGAACUCUGUUUUUCCUGUUUUCUCCUCUCGUGCCUGUCCCGUGCUGCCACCUGAGCCAUGUCUCCCUGUUGGUCGCCCCGCAGGUGACGUUCCGCGGGGCCGUGCUGCCAGCAAUGCUCGCUGAGCCCGUGCGAGGAGAUCUCACCGGGACUGCUGGCGUCAUCCCAGAGAGACCCUUUGCAGACUGACUCCACGUCCUCAGAGCUGAUCUGAUUGGGGCCUACCAAAUACAUUAACGACGUCGAAAGUAGCCUACUUUAAGAGAAAAUAUGCAGAAGAAGAACAUCUACAUCAAGAUUACCAUGAGUACUGUCCAAAACACCUGAUACUCCCUGAGGACCGGACUUGUAUUCUAAAACUUUCUCUCCAGAAACUCCGAUUCCUGGAAGAUCCCGAAGCCUAUCUCCGUAGGUCGGUGUUAAUUAACAAUCUGUUGAGGAAGAUUCACCUAGAGACAGAGAGGGAGAGCUAUGAAUACUUUAAGGAGGCUCCGUGCUAUAGGACUGCUUACUCUGACUCACGAAAACGGCUGAAGUUUAUGGUCCACGAGUGCUGUUCCCAGUCGCUCUAUUAUGAAGAGCUGCAUUCGUAUCGCAUUGUGCCUUAUUCUGCAGAGAACGCCGUUUAUGGAAUGGGCUACGCAAGCGGCCACCUGGAGCAAAAUUCUCAAUUGCUUAUUUAUAAAAUGAAUUAAAGUAGCUGUUAGACCCACCGA